rnacentral:rRNA from 1 species
AUGAAGAAGGUUUCUUCUUUAUUAAGUAAGGGCUCUGUUGGGGUUAAUAUAAACAAUACCAACAGUAAUUUCUUUUUAACUAGCAAGGGAGUCAGGCAGGGGGACCCUUAUUCCCCUCUAUUGUUCAAUUUAGUAGCUGAUGUCUUUACCAAAGUUCUUGCUAAGGCUGCUAGCUGUAACAUCCUAGAAGGACUGUUCCCUAGCUCCAACCCAGCUGGUGUCACCAGCAUGCAGUAUGCUGAUGAUACUUUGCUUUUCCUGAGUAAUAACUCUGCUCAAGCCAAAAACCUUAAAUGGUUACUAUCUUGCUUUGAACAAAUUUCUGGGAUGCGCAUUAACUUUCAUAAAUGCGAAUUGGUCCCCAUUAAUGUAGAUAGGGAGGAAGCAAACAUAUUUUCUCAAAUCCUUGGUUGUAGAAUUAGUGAUUUUCCCAUAAAAUAUUUAGGAGCUCCUCUUCACCACAGAAAGCUGAAGAAAUGUGAGCUUCAGCCUACUGUGGACAAGAUCAUUAAAAAAGGAGCUGGUUGGAGAGGCAGACUCCUGUCCUCUGGCAAGAGGCUCACAUUAGUGAAAACUUGCCUGGCCACCAUUCCUAGUUACCUGAUGGGUAUUUUCAAAUUCCCCAAGUGGGCCAUCCAGUUGAUUAAUUCUCAACUGGCUCACUGUUUCUGGGACAACUAUAAGGGGCAUCACAAAUAUCACCUGGCUUCCUAG